AUGCUUGCUUUGGUAGCACAUAUACUAAAAUUGGAAUAAUACAGAGAUUAGCAUGGCCCCUGCACACAAAUGAAAUGCAAAUUCUUGAAGUGUUUGAUAUUUUC
rnacentral:snRNA from 1 species